rnacentral:rRNA from 1 species
AUACGGAGGGUGCAAGCGUUAUCCGGAAUCAUUGGGGUUAAAGGGUCCGUAGGCGGGCUAAUAAGUCAGGGGUGAAAUCCCACAGCUUAACUGUGGAACUGCCCUUGAUACUGUUGGUCUUGAGUUACAGUGAAGUGGUUAGAAUGUGUAGUGUAGCGGUGAAAUGCAUAGAGAUUACACAGAAUACCGAUUGCGAAGGCAGAUCACUAACUGUAUACUGACGCUAAUGGACGAAAGCGUGGGGAGCGAACAGGAUUAGAAACCCGGGUAGUCC